GGGUUGUGAGGUUAAGCGACUAAGCGUACACGGUGGAUGCCCUGGCAGUCAGAGGCGAUGAAGGACGUGCUAAUCUGCGAAAAGCGCCGGCGAGGUGAUAUGAACCUUUGACCCGGCGAUGUCCGAAUGGGGAAACCCAGUGCAAUUCGUUGCACUAUCGUUAACUGAAUACAUAGGUUAACGAGGCGAACCGGGGGAACUGAAACAUCUAAGUACCCCGAGGAAAAGAAAUCAACCGAGAUUCCCCCAGUAGCGGCGAGCGAACGGGGAGGAGCCCAGAGUCUGAAUCAGCGUGUGUGUUAGUGGAAGCGUCUGGAAAGUCGCACGAUACAGGGUGAAAGUCCCGUACACGAAAGCACACAGGCUGUGAACUCGAAGAGUAGGGCGGGACACGUGGUAUCCUGUCUGAAUAUGGGGGGACCAUCCUCCAAGGCUAAAUACUCCUGACUGACCGAUAGUGAACCAGUACCGUGAGGGAAAGGCGAAAAGAACCCCGGCGAGGGGAGUGAAAAAGAACCUGAAACCGUGUACGUACAAGCAGUGGGAGCCCCACCACUAAGCCAGUGGUGAGUCCACGUCAGCAUCCUUUGCCGAAGGUAAGGUUAACGGAGCGCAAGCGACGUUCAACCUCAAAAGAAACAGAGGGGGCUUAGUGGUGGGGUGACUGCGUACCUUUUGUAUAAUGGGUCAGCGACUUAUAUUCUGUAGCAAGGUUAACCGAAUAGGGGAGCCGAAGGGAAACCGAGUCUUAACUGGGCGUUAAGUUGCAGGGUAUAGACCCGAAACCCGGUGAUCUAGCCAUGGGCAGGUUGAAGGUUGGGUAACACUAACUGGAGGACCGAACCGACUAAUGUUGAAAAAUUAGCGGAUGACCUGUGGCUGGGGGUGAAAGGCCAAUCAAACCGGGAGAUAGCUGGUUCUCCCCGAAAGCUAUUUAGGUAGCGCCUCGUGAACUCAUCUUCGGGGGUAGAGCACUGUUUCGGCUAGGGGGUCAUCCCGACUUACCAACCCGAUGCAAACUGCGAAUACCGAAGAAUGUUAUCACGGGAGACACACGGCGGGUGCUAACGUCCGUCGUGAAGAGGGAAACAACCCAGACCGCCAGCUAAGGUCCCAAAGUCAUGGUUAAGUGGGAAACGAUGUGGGAAGGCCCAGACAGCCAGGAUGUUGGCUUAGAAGCAGCCAUCAUUUAAAGAAAGCGUAAUAGCUCACUGGUCGAGUCGGCCUGCGCGGAAGAUGUAACGGGGCUAAACCAUGCACCGAAGCUGCGGCAGCGAACGUAUCACUUAAAGCGAUUUGAUAAGGUUAAACGAUUGACGGAGCGAAGCGACGUCAAAGCGUUCCAUUACGUUGAGUCGGUUUAAGGAUACGUUCGUUGGGUAGGGGAGCGUUCUGUAAGCCGUUGAAGGUGUGCUGUGAGGCAUGCUGGAGGUAUCAGAAGUGCGAAUGCUGACAUAAGUAACGAUAAAGCGGGUGAAAAGCCCGCUCGCCGGAAGACCAAGGGUUCCUGUCCAACGUUAAUCGGGGCAGGGUGAGUCGACCCCUAAGGCGAGGCCGAAAGGCGUAGUCGAUGGGAAACAGGUUAAUAUUCCUGUACUUGGUGUUACUGCGAAGGGGGGACGGAGAAGGCUAUGUUAGCCGGGCGACGGUUGUCCCGGUUUAAGCAUGUAGGCGGAGGUUCCAGGUAAAUCCGGUACCUUUUAACGCUGAGGUGUGAUGACGAGGCACUACGGUGCUGAAGUAACAAAUGCCCUGCUUCCAGGAAAAGCCUCUAAGCAUCAGGUAACACGAAAUCGUACCCCAAACCGACACAGGUGGUCAGGUAGAGAAUACCAAGGCGCUUGAGAGAACUCGGGUGAAGGAACUAGGCAAAAUGGUGCCGUAACUUCGGGAGAAGGCACGCUGACAUGUAGGUGAAGCCCCUGCGGGUGGAGCUGAAGUCAGUCGAAGAUACCAGCUGGCUGCAACUGUUUAUUAAAAACACAGCACUGUGCAAACACGAAAGUGGACGUAUACGGUGUGACGCCUGCCCGGUGCCGGAAGGUUAAUUGAUGGGGUUAUCCUUAGGGAGAAGCUCUUGAUCGAAGCCCCGGUAAACGGCGGCCGUAACUAUAACGGUCCUAAGGUAGCGAAAUUCCUUGUCGGGUAAGUUCCGACCUGCACGAAUGGCGUAAUGAUGGCCAGGCUGUCUCCACCCGAGACUCAGUGAAAUUGAACUCGCUGUGAAGAUGCAGUGUACCCGCGGCAAGACGGAAAGACCCCGUGAACCUUUACUAUAGCUUGACACUGAACAUUGAGCCUUGAUGUGUAGGAUAGGUGGGAGGCUUUGAAGCGUGGACGCCAGUCUGCGUGGAGCCAACCUUGAAAUACCACCCUUUAAUGUUUGAUGUUCUAACCUGGCGCCGUGAUCCGGCGUGGGGACAGUGUCUGGUGGGUAGUUUGACUGGGGCGGUCUCCUCCUAAAGAGUAACGGAGGAGCACGAAGGUUGGCUAAUCCUGGUCGGACAUCAGGAGGUUAGUGCAAUGGCAUAAGCCAGCUUGACUGCGAGCGUGACGGCGCGAGCAGGUGCGAAAGCAGGUCAUAGUGAUCCGGUGGUUCUGAAUGGAAGGGCCAUCGCUCAACGGAUAAAAGGUACUCCGGGGAUAACAGGCUGAUACCGCCCAAGAGUUCAUAUCGACGGCGGUGUUUGGCACCUCGAUGUCGGCUCAUCACAUCCUGGGGCUGAAGUAGGUCCCAAGGGUAUGGCUGUUCGCCAUUUAAAGUGGUACGCGAGCUGGGUUUAGAACGUCGUGAGACAGUUCGGUCCCUAUCUGCCGUGGGCGCUGGAGAAUUGAGGGGGGCUGCUCCUAGUACGAGAGGACCGGAGUGGACGCAUCACUGGUGUUCGGGUUGUCAUGCCAAUGGCAUUGCCCGGUAGCUACAUGCGGAAGAGAUAAGUGCUGAAAGCAUCUAAGCACGAAACUUGCCCCGAGAUGAGUUCUCCCUGAGACUUAGAGUCUCCUGAAGGAACGUUAAAGACGAUGACGUUGAUAGGCCGGGUGUGUAAGCGCAGCGAUGCGUUGAGCUAACCGGUACUAAUGAACCGUGAGGCUUAACCUUACAACGCCGAAG
rnacentral:rRNA from 1 species